GUGGUCAUCACCAUCAUCACCAUGAUCAUCACUUGCUCCAUCACUUGGCAUGGACCAACCUCAUUAAGUCUACACAUACUUAGCAUAGAGGUUAGUACUAGGGUUUCAUCAAUUAUCCAAAACCAAACUAGGGCUUUCAGCUGCUUGACUUGGGCCGCAGGGGAGGGAAACGCUGCUGCUGCGGGCCGUUAGGCUGGGGAGGGGAGUGGGCCGAGGGCCAGGAUAGGGAGAGGAGAAGUUUUGUUUUCUUUUUAUUUUCUAUUUCUCUUUCUUUUAUUCCAAGUCCAUUUUCAAAUCUAUUUUUAAAAUCACUUUGAAAUAUUUUUGAACUUUAGUCAAACCACUCAAGUCAACAAAAUUUAAUGCAAAAGCAUGAAUGCACAACAAGUUGCUAGGUCCCAUGAUAAAUUUUAAUUCAAUGAAAAAUAUUAUUUUUCUAUGUUUUAUGAACACAAAAAUUCAUAAAUAAAUCAUUUUAGCUCUAUUUUCCAAGGAAACAAUUUUUUGGGUGUUACACCCUCUCUCCGAUGGCACCCACCACCCUCUCCCUCCCUCCACUCUUCCCGGAACCCCUCUUCCUCCUUAGCAGCGGCGCAGCGAGCACCCUCUCCCACCCCCAAGC
rnacentral:lncRNA from 1 species